rnacentral:rRNA from 1 species
AUUGAACGCUGGCGGCAGGCCUAACACAUGCAAGUCGAGCGGAUGAAGGGAGCUUGCUCCUGGAUUCAGCGGCGGACGGGUGAGUAAUGCCUAGGAAUCUGCCUGGUAGUGGGGGAUAACGUCCGGAAACGGGCGCUAAUACCGCAUACGUCCUGAGGGAGAAAGUGGGGGAUCUUCGGGCCUCACGCUAUCAGAUGAGCCUAGGUCGGAUUAGCUAGUUGGUGGGGUAAAGGCCUACCAAGGCGACGAUCCGUAACUGGUCUGAGAGGAUGAUCAGUCACACUGGAACUGAGACACGGUCCAGACUCCUACGGGAGGCAGCAGUGGGGAAUAUUGGACAAUGGGCGAAAGCCUGAUCCAGCCAUGCCGCGUGGGUGAAGAAGGUCUUCGGAUUGUAAAGCACUUUAAGUUGGGAGGAAGGGCAGUAAGUUAAUACCUUGCUGUUUUGACGUUACCAACAGAAUAAGCACCGGCUAACUUCGUG